UUAGCUUCUUAGGAUAGCUUUAAGAAUUUUCUAUUGUCUUUAAUCUCUUUUUUUUUCUGUGAUUCCGGUUUUUUAUUAGGCGGAAUAUAUUCACUUAAAAUAUAUCACCACUUGAAGAACAAGUACGUUACAGUCUUUGUUGAAUUCUAUCUCACAAUAAUCAUUGAGAGAUAAGUUCAGAGCAACGGACAAUCAUUUACGCCUGCAUCAUUUAAUGACUAUGUUUUCAUUAUAUAUUGCAUUUUCUAUGGACAGAUUAUGACAGCUGGAUACUUUUGCCCACACUCUUAUCUCGCUGGGAGAGAACCCGAAGCACCAAUUUCUAAGAGCAUCGAGAACGAAGCCCGGACGAAGCAAUCUCCUUCUAUUAAAGCAGCUAAGUCUCUGUAGUGCUCGCUUCGUGUGUACAUUGUCGCGACGAGGAAGCAUGCGAUGCCAUCACCAAGAAAUAUAAAAGUACAGACAUGAAUCGACGCGCAUCCGACAUCGUGUCCUUCCUCGUCGCACGUACAAACGAUUAACGAAUAUUUUCUUGUCAUUUUUUUCCUCUUUUUCUCAAACUGAUUUUCUUGCAAAAAUAAGAGAUUCUAUAUAUCUGUAUAUUAUAUACAUAUAUAUUUAUAGUAUAUAUAUAUAUAUAUAUAUAUAUAUAUAUAUAUAUAUGCAUAUCGCAGUUUAAAAUCUGUCUGUAAGGAUUCCCGUAUGCCAGUUUAUUAAAGUAUAUAAAAGAAUAUAUAUAUAUAUAUAUAUAUAUAUUUCUUUUAUAUACUAACGUCCGUUUGCUCCGAUUUUCCCUAGCACUUUUAGCAUAAGCUUUAUUAUAUUAAUUUGAUACAAUUCUUAUUCACCUCUAUUGCGUCGGAAACACCUUUAUUGGCUCGCGUAAUUACAUUUACUUCGAUUGCCGUUAUAUAUUUCUCAUCCCGGUUAUAACGAGAAAUGAUCUUUUUCGGUAGCGACGCCGUAUAAAAAUAAAGAGGAUAAAUAAAAAAUAUUUUUUUUUCUUACUCUGAAUAAAAGAAUAUAAGUUACAUGAACUAUCCAAUUGAUCAACUAUGAUCAAUUUUUAAUCUACCUCACUUCCGUCAAGCCCCUCGCUUUUCACUCUCUCGCUUCUCUUAACCCUCCCACCCAUAUUUUCAAAUUUCCCUCCUUCCCUCCCCUUUUUUUAAUCGCAAAUUUCAAGAUUCGAUACAAUUACCCAUCGUUUUUUAUAACAAACUAUAUUUAUUUAUUUUUUUUUUCAUAUACAUAUAUAAAACUCUCUCGUAUGAACGAUCGUUAGGUACAUAUAGUAUUAUGUAUGUGUAAAUUGCAAUGAGCGAAGUUGAAUUUCGGUCGUGUUUUGGGACAAGUUUGCGCCCUCAAAAAUUAUAAUCUUUAUUUUAUGAAAUACGAUUGAAGUUUAACAAAAAUUCUAGAUGCGAAUCGCUUAUAACGAAAAAUAGGCCUGGAGCUAGACGGAGUGGACGAUAUACGUAUACAGGGUAUUUCACUUUAAAUCUCGGAAGGAUGCAUAAUCGAGUACCUUUAAAAAGGCAGGAAAAAAAUUAUUAAGCAAUGAGAAAAAAAAAUAGAAUCCUCCUAUCGCGUUUUCAAAAUAAAAUCUUUCUUUUUUAAGAUAUUUCACAAAAUAUCUUAAGACAUUCUUGAAACGUGAAAGAUGAAAUACCCUGUAUACAUUACACGUGUAUCUUUAUAAGAAAAAUAGAUAGCGAGUCCUGCUCCGGUG